CCCGCUGAACUUAAGCAUAUCAAUAAGCGGAGGAAAAGAAACCAACAGGGAUUGCCUCAGUAACGGCGAGUGAAGCGGCAACAGCUCAAAUUUGAAAUCUGGCCUCGGCCCGAGUUGUAAUUUGCAGAGGAUGCUUCUGGCGCGGUGCCUUCCGAGUUCCCUGGAACGGGACGCCACAGAGGGUGAGAGCCCCGUAUGGUCGGACACCAAGCCUGUGUGAAGCUCCUUCGACGAGUCGAGUAGUUUGGGAAUGCUGCUCUAAAUGGGAGGUAAAUCUCUUCUAAAGCUAAAUACCGGCCAGAGACCGAUAGCGCACAAGUAGAGUGAUCGAAAGAUGAAAAGCACCUUGAAAAGGGGGUUAAAUAGUACGUGAAAUUGUUGAAAGGGAAGCACUUGUGACCAGACUUGGGCCGGGCGGCUCAUCAGGGGUUCUCCCCUGUGCACUCCGCCCGGCACAGGCCAGCAUCGGUUUUCGCGGUGGGAUAAGACCGCCGGGAACGUGGCACCCUCCGGGGUGUGUUAUAGCCCGGCGGACGAUACCUCCGUGGGGACCGAGGUCCGCGCUCUGCAAGGAUGCUGGCGUAAUGGUUACCAGUGACCCGUCUUGAAACACGGACCAAGGAGUCGUCCAUUAGAGCGAGCGUUUGGGUGUAAAACCCGCACGCGUAAUGAAAGUGAACGCAGGUGAGAGCUUCGGCGCAUCAUCGACCGAUCCCGAUGUUCUCGGAGGGAUUUGAGUAAGAGUUUUAACGGACGGACCCGAAAGACAGUGAACUAUGCUUGUAUAGGGUGAAGCCAGAGGAAACUCUGGUGGAGGCUCGCAGCGGUUCUGACGUGCAAAUCGAUCGUCAAAUAUGAGCAUGGGGGCGAAAGACUAAUCGAACUGUCUAGUAGCUGGUUACCGCC
rnacentral:rRNA from 1 species